UACAGAGGUCCCGAGCGUUGUUCGGAUUCACUGGGCGUAAAGGGUGUGUAGGAGGUUUGGUAAGUCGGAUGUGAAAUCCCAUCGCCUAACGGUGGAACUGCAUUCGAUACUGCCGAGCUAGAGGAUCGGAGAGGAGAGCGGAAUUCUUGGUGUAGCGGUGAAAUGCGUAGAUAUCGGAAGGAACAUCAGUGGCGAAAGCGACUUCCUGGACCAAUACUGACGCUCAUGUGCGAAAGCGUGGGGAGCAAACAGG
rnacentral:rRNA from 1 species